GUUAAACAAAUUGUGGUACAUUCCUACAAUGAAAUACUACUCAGCAAUAAGAAGGAAUAGACUGUUGAUACGUUCAACAAGUUGGGUGAAUCUCAAAGACACUAUGCUGAGUAAAAGAAGCCAUCUCAAAAGGGCUGCAUACCAAAAGGAACAAAAGCACAAAACAAACAAACAAACAAACAAACAAGCAGAUGAUGGUGGAAACUAUCUUCAAAACUUCCCUGUUCUGGUAAAGACGUUUUCAGAGCUCAAACUAGUCCUGCUGAAAAUAUUUUUUAAAAUAUGAAAGCAUAGCGGAAAAUUUGUAUGAAAAAGAAAAAAGAAAAAGGAGGAGGAGGAGGAAGAAGAAGAAAGAAGAAAAAGGAGAGGAAGAAGAAGAAGGAGGAGGAGAAGAACAAGAGGAGGAGGAGGAGGAAAUGGCAGAGACAAUGUAUGUCCCAGAAAGCCUAAAAUGUGUACUGUUUGUCCGUUUAUAGAAAAAGUGUGCCAAUCCCUACUCUGUUCCCAAUUUUAAAAACAAAUAAAUAAAAAGAAAAACAAGCAAGUCUCUCAGCCAAGAAAGAAUCGAUGGGAACUUUUUCAACUUUAUAAAGUGGAUCUACAAAACUACAACUAACACUAACGUCACACCUAAUGGUGAAAGUCUGAAUGUUUUCCCUCUAAGACUAGGAAAAGGUGGCAUGGAUGUCCA